rnacentral:rRNA from 1 species
GACGAACCGUGCGAACGUUAUUCGGAAUCACUGGGCUUAAAGCGCGUGUAGGCGGAUGGGUGCGUCGGCUUCUGAAAGCCCCCCGGCUCAACCGGGGAAGUGGGGCCGAAACGACCCGUCUGGAGGGACGUAGGGGGAUCUGGAACUUCCGGUGGAGCGGUGAAAUGCGUUGAGAUCGGAAGGAACGCCCGUGGCGAAAGCGAGAUCCUGGACGUCUUCUGACGCUGAGACGCGAAAAGCUAGGGGGAGCAAACGGGG